GUGCUUACUUUUCACUUCGGCAGCACAUAUACUAAAAUCGGAACAAUACAGAGGCGAUUAGCAUGGCCCCUGUGUCUGGGAACUCUUCUGCUUUGCUAAAGUAGGAGAAAUUAAUU
ensembl:snRNA U6 U6 spliceosomal RNA